GCUAAGGUAGUUUAUUUUCAAACCCUGGUCUUGUAAAUCAGUAAUGGCUCUGCCCCUUAGCU
rnacentral:tRNA from 1 species